UACGGAGGGAGCUAGCGUUGUUCGGAAUUACUGGGCGCAAAGCGCACGUAGGCGGCUUUGUAAGUUAGAGGUGAUAGCCUGGAGCUCAACUCCAGAAUUGCCUUUAAGACUGCAUCGCUUGAAUCCCACGCGAGAGGUGAGUGGAAUUCCGAGUGUAGAGGUGAAAUUCGUAGAUAUUNCGGAAGAACACCAGUGGCGAAGGCGUCACACUGGACUGGUAUGACGCUGAGGUGC
rnacentral:rRNA from 1 species